rnacentral:rRNA from 1 species
UACGUAGGGUGCGAGCGUUGUCCGGAAUUAUUGGGCGUAAAGAGCUCGUAGGCGGUUUUGUCGCGUCGAACUGUGAAAACCUGGGGGCUUAACUCCGGGCUUGCAGUCGAUACGGGGCAGACUUGAGUUUCGGUAGGGGAGACUGGAAUUCCUGGUGUAGCGGUGAAAUGCGCAGAUAUCAGGAGGAACACCGGUGGCGAAGGCGGGUCUCUGGGGCCGAUACUGACGUGAGGAGCGAAAGCGUGGGGGAGCGAACAGG